UGUAACAAGGUCUCCGUUGGUGAACCAGCGGAGGGAUCAUUACCGAGUUUUCAACUCCCAAACCCUUAUGUGAACCUACCUAUCGUUGCUUCGGCGGACUCGCCCCAGCCGGACGCGGACUGGACCAGCGGCCGCCGGGGACCAUCAAACUCUUGUAUUAUCAGCAUCUUCUGAAUACGCCGCAAGGCAAAACAAAUAAAUUAAAACUUUCAACAACGGAUCUCUUGGCUCUGGCAUCGAUGAAGAACGCAGCGAAAUGCGAUAAGUAAUGUGAAUUGCAGAAUCCAGUGAAUCAUCGAAUCUUUGAACGCACAUUGCGCCCGCCAGCAUUCUGGCGGGCAUGCCUGUUCGAGCGUCAUUUCAACCCUCGACCUCCCUUUGGGGAAGUCGGCGUUGGGGACCGGCAGCACACCGCCGGCCCUGAAAUGGAGUGGCGGCCCGUCCGCGGCGACCUCUGCGUAGUAAACCAACUCGCACCGGAACCCCGACGUGGCCACGCCGUAAAACACCCAACUUCUGAACGUUGACCUCGAAUCAGGUAGGACUACCCGCUGAACUUAAGCAUAUCA
rnacentral:rRNA from 1 species